AUGAGUGUUAGGUGUCUGGAGUAAAUCUGGGUGCCGCAGCUAACGCAAUAAACACUCCGCCUGGGGAGUACGCACGCAAGUGUGAAACUCAAAGGAAUUGACGGGGACCCGCACAAGCAGCGGAGCAUGUGGUUUAAUUCGAAGCAACGCGAAGAACCUUACCAAGUCUUGACAUAUUUCGGAGGUAAUUAGAGAUAAUUACUUAGAGCUUCGGCUCACUGAAAUACAGGUGGUGCAUGGCUGUCGUCAG
rnacentral:rRNA from 1 species